rnacentral:rRNA from 1 species
UACAGAGGGGGCAAGCGUUGUUCGGAAUUACUGGGCGUAAAGGGCGCGUAGGCGGCCCGCUAAGUCGAACGUGAAAUCCCCGAGCUCAACUCGGGAACUGCGUCCGAUACUGGCGGGCUUGAAUCCGGGAGAGGAGAGUGGAAUUCCUGGUGUAGCGGUGAAAUGCGCAGAUAUCAGGAAGAACACCCGUGGCGAAGGCGGCUCUCUGGAACGCAACUGACGCUGAGACGCGAAAGCGUGGGGGAGCAAACAGG